rnacentral:rRNA from 1 species
CAGCAGCCGCGGUAAUACGUAGGGUGCGAGCGUUAAUCGGAAUUACUGGGCGUAAAGCGUGCGCAGGCGGUUUGUUAAGACAGAUGUGAAAUCCCCGGGCUCAACCUGGGAACUGCAUUUGUGACUGGCAAGCUAGAGUGUGGCAGAGGGGGGUGGAAUUCCGCGUGUAGCAGUGAAAUGCGUAGAUAUGCGGAGGAACACCGAUGGCGAAGGCAAUCCCCUGGACCUGUACUGACGCUCAUGCACGAAAGCGUGGGGAGCAAACAGGAUUAGAUACCCCCGUAGUCCCUGUCUCUUAUAC